rnacentral:rRNA from 1 species
UACGUAGGGGGCAAGCGUUGUCCGGAUUUAUUGGGCGUAAAGAGCGUGUAGGCGGCUUUGCAAGUCCGUUGUGAAAACUCGAGGCUCAACCUCGAGACGCCGGUGGAAACUGCAAAGCUAGAGUCCGGAAGAGGAGAGUGGAAUUCCUGGUGUAGCGGUGAAAUGCGCAGAUAUCAGGAAGAACACCCGUGGCGAAGGCGGCUCUCUGGGACGGUACUGACGCUGAGACGCGGAAGCGUGGGGAGCAAACAGG